CCAGUAGAGUCUGAUCAUGGCUCAGGACGAACGCUGGCUGCGUGCUUAACACAUGCAAGUCGAACGCUGAAGCCGACAGCUUGCUGUUGGUGGAUGAGUGGCGAACGGGUGAGUAACACGUGAGUAACCUGCCCCUGAUUUCGGGAUAAGCCUGGGAAACUGGGUCUAAUACCGGAUAUGACCAAUCUUUGCAUGAGGGUUGGUGGAAAGUUUUUCGAUCGGGGAUGGGCUCGCGGCCUAUCAGCUUGUUGGUGGGGUAAUGGCCUACCAAGGCGACGACGGGUAGCCGGCCUGAGAGGGCGACCGGCCACACUGGGACUGAGACACGGCCCAGACUCCUACGGGAGGCAGCAGUGGGGAAUAUUGCACAAUGGGGGAAACCCUGAUGCAGCGACGCAGCGUGCGGGAUGACGGCCUUCGGGUUGUAAACCGCUUUCAGCAGGGAAGAAGCGAAAGUGACGGUACCUGCAGAAGAAGUACCGGCUAACUACGUGCCAGCAGCCGCGGUAAUACGUAGGGUACGAGCGUUGUCCGGAAUUAUUGGGCGUAAAGAGCUCGUAGGUGGUUGGUCACGUCUGCUGUGGAAACGCAACGCUUAACGUUGCGCGUGCAGUGGGUACGGGCUGACUAGAGUGCAGUAGGGGAGUCUGGAAUUCCUGGUGUAGCGGUGAAAUGCGCAGAUAUCAGGAGGAACACCGGUGGCGAAGGGGGGACUCUGGGCUGUAACUGGGACUGAGGAGCGAAAGCAUGGGGAGCGAACAGGAUUUUUUACCCUAGUACUCCAUGCCGCAAACGUUGGGCACUAGGUGGGCGGGAUAUUCCCCUUUCUUAAAAAAGAAGAGGA
rnacentral:rRNA from 1 species